rnacentral:rRNA from 1 species
GAUGAACGCUGGCGGCGUGCCUAAUACAUGCAAGUCGAGCGAACAGACGAGGAGCUUGCUCCUCUGACGUUAGCGGCGGACGGGUGAGUAACACGUGGAUAACCUACCUAUAAGACUGGGAUAACUUCGGGAAACCGGGGCUAAUACCGGAUAAUAUAUUGAACCGCAUGGUUCAAUAGUGAAAGACGGUUUUGCUGUCACUUAUAGAUGGAUCCGCGCCGCAUUAGCUAGUUGGUAAGGUAACGGCUUACCAAGGCAACGAUGCGUAGCCGACCUGAGAGGGUGAUCGGCCACACUGGAACUGAGACACGGUCCAGACUCCUACGGGAGGCAGCAGUAGGGAAUCUUCCGCAAUGGGCGAAAGCCUGACGGAGCAACGCCGCGUGAGUGAUGAAGGUCUUCGGAUCGUAAAACUCUGUUAUUAGGGAAGAACAUAUGUGUAAGUAACUAUGCACGUCUUGACGGUACCUAAUCAGAAAGCCACGGCUAACUACGUG